rnacentral:ncRNA from 2 species
AAUGACAAAUCUGGAGAGUGGUACUUCAAGCAUAAGUACCCACCGAAGGGGAAAAGAUAGCGGUGAUAGGCCACUAUCGAAAAUCUCAGGUCACAGGACAGAUGGGGCAAA